CAUUUGUUUCACCUGUGUCUCGUUAACUUUGUGGAUCUAGUUUUUUCCUCUGGUCCAGUUGGUUUUGUCAGUUGUUCAGUUGUCAGUUUCCCUGGUUGUGUUUAUUCAUCCUGUCUUUGGCCUUUGAGUUUUGGACACUGAUGCUGUCCUUCCUGCUUCAUCCUACUGAUCUACUCGUCCUGACGAGGUCGGUGUUGGAAAAGGUCUGAAAGAGUGACUGAGGUGCUGAAGCACUUCUUCAGGUGCAGGAUCAUCAUUCGCACGUCAUGGAGGGAACAGCAGGUUGAGGCCCCACCUAUUUGCCUGAAAUACCAAAGAAAUUCAUCUUGUAAUUAAUAAUUGAUGCCACCAGAAGGCCAUCCAGCACAUCAGGGAAUGUGUGGAAUACAAGACAUUGUGAUCUCUUAAGUACCAUCAGUUUUUAAUCAUUAAUAAAACAUUGAACAGUGUUUGAGUUAUCCUGUGGUAAUCUCAUCAUUGCACUGUUGAUUUGAAACAUAAUCUGUGCACGAAGAUGGCCGACAUUGAUUCUCCCUCAAAGGCGAGCCAAAGUGUCUUCCGCGCCACCUAGUGACUGGCUGCAGUAAAGGUCGUAAAUCCGGCGAUGGGCAGCUCCAUCUCCUGACCGGUACUGAUCAGACUCCAGCUCCAAAUGGACAAGAUGUAACAUUCAAGCAGGGAUAUUUUGGCUUCAUUAAUGGUUGGGGGAGGGAAACUGGUGCAUUGUCUAUCUUUGUACACAGUCUAUGAUUUGGAAGACUGUUUUGUACACCUGCAGAAAUGUAUUGACUUAGAAAAAUACCACUCUCCUGACGCAGGUGA